AGCGAACGCUGGCGGCAGGCCUAACACAUGCAAGUCGAACGAACCCUUCGGGGUUAGUGGCGGACGGGUGAGUAACACGUGGGAACGUGCCUUCAGGUACGGAAGAACUCAGGGAAACUUGUGCCAAUACCGCAUGUGCCCUGCGGGGGGAAGAUUUAUCGCCGUUAGAGCGGCCCGCGUCUGAUUAGCUAGUUGGUGAUGUAAUGGCUCACCAAGGCUACGAUCAGUAGCUGGUCUGAGAGGUUGACCAGCCACAUUGGGACUGAGACACGGCCCAAACUCCUACGGGAGGCAGCAGUGGGGAAUCUUGCGCAAUGGGCGAAAGCCUGACGCAGCCAUGCCGCGUGGAUGAUGAAGGUCUUAGGAUUGUAAAAUCCUUUCACCGGUGAAGAUAAUGACUGUAGCCGGAGAAGAAGCCCCGGCUAACUUCGUGCCAGCCGCCGCGGUAAUAC
rnacentral:rRNA from 1 species